UUUUGUAUCCGCACUAAUUAAUGACCGCAUAUAUUCAGUUUUGCUGGGGCCGCCGUGGUACAGUGGGAACACACGCGCUUAGGAGACCGAAGAGGCCUCAGGCACACGGGUUCAGAUCCUGGUCAUGGUGCGAUGUUUUUCCAGAGCCAUGUUGGUUUUGGCGGGGGUGACUCCGCUCGUACUCCUAUGCAGCAUGGUCACCAGAGUGGGGGCGGCAGCCCUGGGUGUGGGGGAGGUGGUGCAUCCAGGUGGUGGAUGGGAGGAGGACGUUGCACAAGCAGCGAGUCAGGUGGUGAAGCGCUACCUGGCUGGAUGUCACCUGGUGCUGGCCGCCCCUCGCCCCUCGCGUGCACUGCCUCACCUCAUCAGGCGUCUCUCUGAGGUGGGCGAGCUGGCAGUGUUCCUGCAGCCUUGCGGGGACGCCAAGCUGCUCCACGGAAGCACCAAAGAAAAAGUCUUCCAGGGGAAUGAUGGAGUGCCGUACUUUUGGCGCGAGGUGUGGGGGUCCAGCAAGGCCACGUGUCGCGCCUUCCUGCUUGACCACACCGCUUGCGGCACCGAUACAGCCGCCAGGUGAGGCACGCUCAUGAAAUGUGAGGUUUGCCUAUUUCAGAUAUAAAUACACAAUUAUGGUUAAGAAAAGUAUAUAAUUCAUUUCGUUAUUUAGUCCUCUCGUUAGCCUCUCAUGUACCAGAUUUGCUGAAGACUUUUCUUUUUUCCUUUAAGCAUAAGUAUACCUUGAUCUCCGCUUGUAACUUAGAAGUACAUCGUUUUUAAAAUUUGUGUAAACUUGCUCAGAAUGCUUCUUACACU